AUUGAACGCUGGCGGCAUGCCUAACACAUGCAAGUCGAACGGUAACGCGGGGGCAACCCUGGCGACGAGUGGCGGACGGGUGAGGAAUACGUAGGAAUCUGCCCAUUUGUGGGGGAUAACCCGGCGAAAGCCGGGCUAAUACCGCAUAAGCUCUACGGCGGAAAGCGGGGGAUCGCAAGAACUCGCGCUAAUGGAUGAGCCUUCGUCGGAUUAGCUAGUUGGUAGGGUAACGGCCUACCAAGGCGACGAUCCGUAGCUGGUCUGAGAGGACAAUCAGCCACACUGGGACUGAGACACGGCCCAGACUCCUACGGGAGGCAGCAGUGGGGAAUAUUGGACAAUGGGGGCAACCCUGAUCCAGCAAUGCCGCGUGUGUGAAGAAGGCCUGCGGGUUGUAAAGCACUUUCAGAGGGGAAGAAAAAAUCGGAGCUAACACCUCCGAGCUUGACGUUACCCUUAGAAGAAGCACCGGCUAACUCCGUGCCAGCAGCCGCCGUAAUAC
rnacentral:rRNA from 1 species